rnacentral:rRNA from 1 species
GACGAACGCUGGCGGCGUGCUUAACACAUGCAAGUCGAACGGAAAGGCCCUGCUUUUGUGGGGUGCUCGAGUGGCGAACGGGUGAGUAACACGUGAGUAACCUGCCCUUGACUUUGGGAUAACUUCAGGAAACUGGGGCUAAUACCGGAUAGGAGAUCCUGCUGCAUGGUGGGGGUUGGAAAGUUUCGGCGGUUGGGGAUGGACUCGCGGCUUAUCAGCUUGUUGGUGGGGUAGUGGCUUACCAAGGCUUUGACGGGUAGCCGGCCUGAGAGGGUGACCGGCCACAUUGGGACUGAGAUACGGCCCAGACUGCUACGGGAGGCAGCAGUGGGGAAUAUUGCACAGUGGGCAGAAGCCUGAUGCAGCAACGCCGCGUUCGGGAUGACGGCCUUCGGGUUGUAAACCGCUUUCGCCUGUGACGAAGCGUGAGUGACGGUAAUGGGUAAAGAAGCACCGGCUAACUACGUG